rnacentral:lncRNA from 1 species
AGCAACUGCUUCUGUGGAGCGACUGAGGAGCUAGGCCAGCGAGGAGCAGAGGAAGGGGCUUGCCAGCCAGGGACCCCCCGCCCCCUCCUGGGCUUGUGACUUCUUCAGAGCUGAGCGCCGCCUUGGUGCUGGGGCUGGGUGUGUAGCGCUGGGCUGCUAAGCGGCACCGACUAGAAAGGCGGCACUUGGAAAGUCCCGCUCAGCCCCCCGGUCGACAGAUGGUGUUUCUGCAGCGUUUGUGUGGAGGGGUGGGGAGUGGUGGUAACAAUAAGCAGCAGUAGCCACUUGACAGGCUCCCUGCUGCCAAGAAUUUGCAUGACGAGCGCUUGCUGCCAUCUGGAGAACUUCAGCUCAUUGAGGAAGAAGCCGUGUCUCAGCGUGGGUGCUCUGUCGGUGUGAGGGAUCUCCCCUCCCCCAGGGAAGCAGAAAGCAAAAGGCAGAUUCAUCAGAUGGACCUGGCCUGGGGGAAGCAGGCGGCACCGUCCCUUAGGGAAAGCCAGGGCUAGCUGGCCGUGCUGGUCUGAUCUGGAGGAUGUGCGGACAGGUCCGGCAUGGCAGAGUGGGUUAGGUCAGCGGAGUCCAUCGCCUUUUGAACGCAUAUAUGGUAGAAUUCAAAACAGGUUGGAGCUUUUCUGCAUUUCCUGCCAGGUAAGCUAAUGAAAGUCAAUGUGCAUGUAAAGACAAAAUGAUUAGCUAAGUAUUUGCCAAAGCCAAAUUUUCCAAGAAAGAAAAAAAUGGCAAGCCAUUUUAAGAGAUGAAUAGUCUAACAUUGCUCUGUUCAGCUACCGGUGGAAGUCAGCGAAUUGCAGUCAUGACUUCCUUUGGGCAUUAAGAACUAAAGGAACCAUAUAAUGUCACCAUUUGUCAUUCAUGAUCAUAUAAAAGUUUUUGUUUGUGAUCUGAUUUGCACCCAGACCCUCCCCUCUUUCGCACUUGAUUUUAAAAAGUAAACGUUUCAUCAAGUUCUAAGACAAGCAAGGAAAGGGAUGCACUUAAGGUAGGGAAACAAAAUAUUUUUGUAAUUGUAUGUUUUUCUCCUUCUUGGAUUGAUAAUUUUUCUGGAAUCUUCUGAGGUUUUUGUUCUAAGAAGAAUCAAGCAUAUCUUCCAUUCUCCACUCAUUUUCUCAAUAGCCAUAGGCAUCUCUCCUUGGAUCUCCUGCCUCUCAGAUCUCUUCUCCUCAAGGCCAUGGCACUAGUGAUCUAGUGGCAUAGAGCUUAGCUAAUAAUCCUAAGGUGACAGGCACCUGUCACACUUACUGUCAAAGCAUGUGUUUUGUUUGAAGCUUAGUUUCACUUAACUGUUAAAAUUUCCAUGUUUGUUUCAGGUUAAAAAAUGACAUUGCAUAAGUCUAUGUGGAUAUGUAAGCCCUUAGGUUAUACAUAACUUUUUUCAAUGAGUUUAUAAUAAUAAUUUGUCCAA